rnacentral:misc_RNA from 1 species
UUUCCGUAGGUGAACCUGCGGAAGGAUCAUUAUUGUAUAACCGAGGUGCGAGGGCUGUCGCUGACCCGAAAGGUCGUGCACGCCCGAGUGCCCUCACACACAUCCAUCUCACCCCUAUGUGCACCACCGCGUGCGUCCCCCUUUGGCUUGUUCGGAGGGGGGCUUACGUUUUCACACAAACUUUGUAUGCAGUGUAGAAUGUAUUUUUUGUUUUUGCGAUCACGCAAUCAAUACAACUUUCAACAACGGAUCUCUUGGCUCUC